GACGAACGCUGGCGGCGUGCCUAAUACAUGCAAGUCGAACGCAUUUGCGCAAGCGUGAGUAACGCGUAGGUAACUGCCUCAUAGCGGGGGAUAAAUAUUGGAAACGAUAGCUAUUACCGCAUACUGUGAGAUGGACCUGCGUUGUAUUAGGUAGUUGGGGAGGGAAAGGCUCAACAAGGCGACGAUACAUAGCCGACCUGAGAGGGUGAACGGCCAAACUGGGAAUGAGACACGGCCCAGACCCCUACGGGAAGCAGCAGUAGGGAAUCUUCGGAAAUGGACGGAAGGCUGACCGAGCAAAGCCGGGGGAGGUAAGAAGGUUUUCGGAGCGGAAAGCUCUGUUGUGAGAGAAGCGGUAACUAACCAGAAAGGGACGGCUAACUACGUGCCAGCAGCCGCGGUAAUUC
rnacentral:rRNA from 1 species